rnacentral:lncRNA from 1 species
ACCGGUGGGACUCUUGACCCUGGUACCCAAAAUGUGUGGAACUCGUGAUCAGAGAAUUUUAAUUCUCAAUCAUAGAGUCCCAGACAUGUAGGACUCUUGGUCGAAGAGUCCCAGUCUAGUGGGACUCUUUACCAGCCAUCAGAUUAGAUAGGAACCUUUAACGUGUGUGACCCUGCAGGUUUGAACCUAAGUCGGUAGCACAGGAACCAAUUCCUAUACUAAUCGAAGUGACCAUCUAGCAAUGGUACCC